GGGCCCGCACAAGCGGUGGAGCAUGUGGUUUAAUUCGAUGGUACGCGAGGAACCUUACCUGGGUUUGACAUACAGCGUGAUGGGUCAGAGAUGAUCCAGCGUAGCAAUACGACGCUGUACAGGUGCUGCA
rnacentral:rRNA from 1 species